rnacentral:lncRNA from 1 species
AGUUUCACAUAGAGGAUGGAGAGAAAAGAAAUAAUUAUCGCAUUUCGUUAGACUUUUUAGUAUAAGAAAAGGCAUAUUAUCACACUUCGUUCAACUUUCAAUAUACAUAUUCUAUGGCCAAAAGUAGAAGAAACAUUACAGCCAAGUGUAGUUGUGUACAACUCUGAAACUCUAAGAGAAGGCUUCUAUGAAUUAACCCCAAUCAUCAGUUGUGAAGCGGGUUUGGACCUUGAGGUACCGCUCUAUCAGACGCCCCAAAGAUGGGAUCAAAAUCAUCACCAUCGUAAUUAAUCGCUUGUGAAGGAGAAAUCUUGGAGAAAUAGCCAGUGGAUGAUGAGUACUCACCUUCCCAACUCUUGUCAACCUCCUCCUGCAAAAUUCUGAUCCCAUGGCUGAAAGUUGAUAAUUGGCCCACCACAAGUAAUAUAAGAAGGAAGAGAGACAUGGAUGGCAGAUAGAACUUUUUAAGCUUCAUGCUGUUGGAGAAGUAUAAGAAAGAGAAAGAAGCUUGGGUAGAGAGAGAGAGAGAGAGAGAGCAAGAUUGGAUUGAAAGCUAAUUAGUAGAUAUGUAGGACGGUGGGGAUUAUAUUAAUAUGGGACCAACUCUAUGUGGUGGGAGAGAGACACAAGUUUUCUAUCAGAGGACCCUUUUGGAGUUCUUCAAAUUGCCCUCUCUCUCAUGCGUUGGAAUGGUUAGUUUUGUCAUUAGGAAAGCUUGUA